AUCUAAGAUCACAUAUAUAUCUCUUCAACUUCUCUCUGCUUAAUCUCUCUUAUUACCAAUCAGACCCUAAGUGUCAAAAUGUCUGCAUUAUCUAUUUUCUUCUUGAUAUUGUUUUGCUUUCUAUUUUCAUAUGGAGCAGCAACACAUAAGAUUAUCAGUUUACCGGAUUAGCCACCGGUAAACUUCAGCCAAUACUCCGGUUACAUCACUGUCGAUGUUAAUCACCAGAGGAACCUAUUCUACUAUUUCGUAGAAGUAGAAGUUGACCGAUCAUCAAAACCAGUUAUACUCUGGUUACAUGGAGGGCCUAGGUGUUCUGCCGUAGGAGAAGCUGCUUUCACCCAGCACGAACCUUUCCUGGUCAGUCCCAAGGGUUUGGUCAAAAAUCCCUUCAACUGGAAUAGAGGUAUUUUUAUACAUUUUUUCAAGUAAUUACCACAAAAAUUAUUUAUGAGUUCUCCAUUAUAAAAUUUGUUUUUUUUUACUGAUUUUGCAUUCUCUAUUACAGAAGCAAGCAUGAUAUACUUGGAUUCUCCAGCUGGUGUUGGUUUCUCUUAUUCGGCCAACACGUAUGAUUAUAUAUUUCUAAAUGAUGAAUUUGCAGUUUGAAUGGCUGUUGAGCAGAGGUAGUUAGUCGCCUUCGAAGAAUGUGAUGUUAUGGUUCAUGUGUGUGGUGACAAUAUGGGACGCCAAAAACUAAAAUACUUUUUAAAAUGAGGAAAUAACUAUUGUGAAGAUGGUUAAAGAGGCAAAAUUUCUAUCUUGGAAAAUACUUUUCAAGCAGCACGUUGAAUAACAUUUCGCAGUGGUUCACACAUCCAAGGGUGUGUCUCAAAAUUUUGUAUGAUUAUUGACAGGUGUUGUGGAAUAACAUUAGAUCUUUGCGCAAUUUUGUUGGGGUUUAAUGUUGGUAAUCCUGUGUAGGUUGUUCAUCAAUAGGAGAGUGUUCACUUUGUUGAAAUAUGAAUGCAUCAUGAACCAUUUACUUUA